rnacentral:rRNA from 1 species
UACGAAGGGGGCUAGCGUUGCUCGGAAUUACUGGGCUUAAAGCGCACGUAGGCGGCUUUCUAAGUCGGGGGUGAAAUCCUGGAGCUCAACUCCAGAACUGCCUUCGAUACUGGAGAGCUCGAGUCCGGGAGAGGUGAGUGGAACUGCGAGUGUAGAGGUGAAAUUCGUAGAUAUUCGCAAGAACACCAGUGGCGAAGGCGGCUCACUGGCCCGGUACUGACGCUGAGGUGCGAAAGCGUGGGGAGCAAACAGG